rnacentral:rRNA from 1 species
UACGUAGGGGGCAAGCGUUGUCCGGAUUUAUUGGGCGUAAAGAGCGUGUAGGCGGCCUGACAGGUCAGCUGUGAAAACUCGAGGCUCAACCUCGAGACGUCGGUUGAAACCAUCUGGCUAGAGUCCGGAAGAGGAGUGUGGAAUUCCCGGUGUAGCGGUGAAAUGCGCAGAUAUCGGGAAGAACACCCGUGGCGAAGGCGGCACUCUGGGACGGUACUGACGCUGAGACGCGAAAGCGUGGGGAGCGAACAGG